rnacentral:rRNA from 1 species
GAUGAACGCUGGCGGCGUGCCUAAUACAUGCAAGUCGAGCGAACAGACGAGGAGCUUGCUCCUCUGACGUUAGCGGCGGACGGGUGAGUAACACGUGGAUAACCUACCUAUAAGACUGGGAUAACUUCGGGAAACCGGAGCUAAUACCGGAUAAUAUAUUGAACCGCAUGGUUCAAUAGUGAAAGACGGUUUUGCUGUCACUUAUAGAUGGAUCCGCGCCGCAUUAGCUAGUUGGUAAGGUAACGGCUUACCAAGGCAACGAUGCGUAGCCGACCUGAGAGGGUGAUCGGCCACACUGGAACUGAGACACGGUCCAGACUCCUACGGGAGGCAGCAGUAGGGAAUCUUCCGCAAUGGGCGAAAGCUUGACGGAGCAACGCCGCGUGAGUGAUGACGGUCUUCGGAUCGUAAAACUCUGUUAUUAGGGAAGAACAAAUGUGUAAGUAACUAUGCACGUCUUGACGGUACCUAAUCAGAAAGCCACGGCUAACUACGUG